rnacentral:rRNA from 1 species
GGAUUGGGAGGGUUCUACGGAACCCGUUUGGUGAAUCUAGUGCCGAGAAAAGCCUUCUAUGUGUUGAAUUCCUAGUACCCGUACCCCAAACCGACACAGGUGGGUGGGUAGAGCAUACCUAGGGGCGCGUGAUAACUCUCUCUAAGGAACUCGGCAAAAUGGCCCUGUAACUUCGGGAUAAGGGGUGCCUGCGUGAGCAGGCCGCAGUGAAAUGGCUCUGGCGACUGUUUACCAAAAACACAGGUCUCUGCUAAGUCGUAAGACGAUGUAUAGGGGCUGACUCCUGCCCAGUGCCGGAAGGUUAAGGAAGUUGGUUAGCGCAAGCGAAGCUGGCGACCGAAGCCCCGGUGAACGGCGGCCGUAACAAUAACGGUCCUAAGGUAGCGAAAUUCCUUGUCGGGUAAGUUCCGACCCGCACGAAAGGAGUAACGAUCAGAGCGCUGUCUCGGAGAGAGACACGGCGAAAUAGGAUUGUCCGUGAAGACACGGACUACCUGCACCCGGACAGAAAGACCCUAUGAAGCUUUACUGUAACUUGGAAUUGUGUUCGGACUUUGUCUGCGCAGAAUAGGUGGGAGGCUAUGAAACGUUCCUCGCGGGGAACUGGAGCCAUCGUUGAGAUACCACUCUGGCAGAGUCUGGAUUCUAACCUACGGGGACAGUUUCCAGGUGGGCAGUUUGACUGGGGCGGUCGCCUCCUAAAAUGUAACGGAGGCGCGCAAAGGUUCCCUCAGGCUGGUUGGAAAUCAGCCAUAGAGUGUAAAAGCAUAAGGGAGCUUGACUGUGAGACCUACAAGUCGAGCAGGGACGAAAGUCGGCUUUAGUGAUCCGACGGCACUGAGUGGAAGGGCCGUCGCUCAACGGAUAAAAGUUACUCUAAGGAUAACAGGCUGAUCUCCCCCAAGAGUUCACAUCGACGGGGAGGUUUGGCACCUCGAUGUCGGCUCGUCGCAACCUGGGGCGGUAGUACGUCCCAAGGGUUGGGCUGUUCGCCCAUUAAAGCGGCACGUGAGCUGGGUUCAGAACGUCGUGAGACAGUUCGGUCCAUAUCCGGUGUAGGCGUAGGAGCAUUGAAAGGAUCUCUCCUUAGUACGAGAGGACCGGGAGGGACGUACCUCUGGUGUACCUGUUAUCGUGCCAACGGUAAACGCAGGGUAGCCAUGUACGGAGUGGAUAACCGCUGAAAGCAUCUAAGUGGGAAGCCCACCUUAAGAUGAGUGCUCCCUUGAGGCCACGGGAAGACGACCCGUUUGAUAGGCGCUAGGUGGAAGUGCAGUAAUGCAUGCAGCCGAGGCGUACUAAUAGGCCGAUGGCUUGUCC